CUACGGGUGUGCUGAGAGAGACCACCCUGGUGUCUACGCCAAGGUCUGCCUCUUCAACGAGUGGCUGGAGAACACCAUGGCCAGCUACUAAGAGAUCCAAACAAGCAAAUUCAGUCAAGAAGCUCACAAUCAUUUGUUUCUGAUGUCCCAUCUGUUGUACUGAACAAUAUGGCUGAUAAAAAGUGUAAAGCAAAAAAA